rnacentral:rRNA from 1 species
GACGAACGCUGGCGGCGUGCCUAAUACAUGCAAGUCGAGCGCAGGAAAUCGACGGAACCCUUCGGGGGGAAGUCGAUGGAAUGAGCGGCGGACGGGUGAGUAACACGUAAAGAACCUGCCCUCAGGUCUGGGAUAACCACGAGAAAUCGGGGCUAAUACCGGAUGGGUCAUCGGACCGCAUGGUCCGAGGAUGAAAGGCGCUUCGGCGUCGCCUGGGGAUGGCUUUGCGGUGCAUUAGCUAGUUGGUGGGGUGAUGGCCCACCAAGGCGACGAUGCAUAGCCGACCUGAGAGGGUGAUCGGCCACACUGGGACUGAGACACGGCCCAGACUCCUACGGGAGGCAGCAGUAGGGAAUCUUCCACAAUGGACGAAAGUCUGAUGGAGCAACGCCGCGUGAACGAUGAAGGCCUUCGGGUCGUAAAGUUCUGUUGUAAGGGAAGAACAAGUGCCGCAGGCAAUGGCGGCACCUUGACGGUACCUUGCGAGAAAGCCACGGCUAACUACGUGCCAGCCGCCGCUGUAA